UACGUAGGGGGCAAGCGUUGUCCGGAAUUAUUGGGCGUAAAGAGCUCGUAGGCGGUCUGUCGCGUCGGAUGUGAAAACCCGGGGCUUAACCCCGGGCCUGCAUUCGAUACGGGCAGACUCGAGUGUGGUAGGGGAGACUGGAACUCUUGGUGUAGCGGUGAAAUGCGCAGAUAUCAGGAAGAACACCGGUGGCGAAGGCGGGUCUCUGGGCCGCUACUGACGCUGAGGAGCGAAAGCGUGGGGAGCGAACAGG
rnacentral:rRNA from 1 species